rnacentral:rRNA from 1 species
CGGUAACUGCCCAAGAGAUCGGGAUAACACCUGGAAACAGAUGCUAAUACCGGAUAACAACAGAUGAUGCCUAUCAACUGUUUAAAAGAUGGUUCUGCUAUCACUCUUGGAUGGACCUGCGGUGCAUUAGCUAGUUGGUAGGGUAACGGCCUACCAAGGCGAUGAUGCAUAGCCGAGUUGAGAGACUGAUCGGCCACAUUGGGACUGAAACACGGCCCAAACUCCUACGGGAGGCAGCAGCA